UCUCCGUUGGUGAACCAGCGGAGGGAUCAUUACCGAGUUUACAACUCCCAAACCCCUGUGAACAUACCAUUUGUUGCCUCGGCGGUGCCUGCUUCGGCAGCCCGCCAGAGGACCCAAACCCUUGAUGUUAUACAGUAUCUUCUGAGUAAAUGAUUAAAUAAAUCAAAACUUUCAACAACGGAUCUCUUGGUUCUG
rnacentral:misc_RNA from 1 species